rnacentral:rRNA from 1 species
GAUGAACGCUGGCGGCGUGCCUAAUACAUGCAAGUCGAGCGAACAGAUGAGGAGCUUGCUCCUCUGACGUUAGCGGCGGACGGGUGAGUAACACGUGGAUAACCUACCUAUAAGACUGGGAUAACUUCGGGAAACCGGCGCUAAUACCGGAUAAUAUAUUGAACCGCAUGGUUCAAUAGUGAAAGUCGGUUUUGCUGUCACUUAUAGAUGGAUCCGCGCCGCAUUAGCUAGUUGGUAAGGUAACGGCUUACCAAGGCGACGAUGCGUAGCCGACCUGAGAGAGGGAUAGGCGACAUUGGAACUGGGACACGGACAAGACUACUAAGAGAGGCAGCAGUAGGGAAUCGUCCGCAAUGGGCGAAAGCAUGACGGAGCAACGCCGCGUGAGUGAUGAAGGUCUUCGGAUCGUAAAAAUCUGUUAUUAGGGAAGAACAAAUGUGUAAGUAAAUAUACACGUCUUGACGGUACCUAAUCAGAAAGCCACGGCUAACUACGUG